rnacentral:rRNA from 1 species
UACGGAGGGUGCGAGCGUUGUUCGGAUUUACUGGGCGUAAAGGGCGCGUAGGCGGUCAGCACAAGUCAAUUGUGAAAUCUCCGAGCUUAACUCGGAAAGGUCAACUGAAACUGUGCGACUAGAGUGCGGAAGGGGCAACUGGAAUUCUUGGUGUAGCGGUGAAAUGCGUAGAUAUCAAGAGGAACACCUGCGGCGAAGGCGGGUUGCUGGGCCGACACUGACGCUGAAGCGCGAAAGCCAGGGGAGCGAACGGG